UUUACGGAGAGUUUGAUCCUGGCUCAGGACGAACGCUGGCGGCGUGCUUAACACAUGCAAGUCGAACGAUGAUGCCCAGCUUGCUGGGUGGAUUAGUGGCGAACGGGUGAGUAACACGUGAGUAACCUGCCCCUGACUCUGGGAUAAGCGUUGGAAACGACGUCUAAUACUGGAUAUGAUCACUGGCCGCAUGGUCUGGUGGUGGAAAGAUUUUUUGGUUGGGGAUGGACUCGCGGCCUAUCAGCUUGUUGGUGAGGUAAUGGCUCACCAAGGCGACGACGGGUAGCCGGCCUGAGAGGGUGACCGGCCACACUGGGACUGAGACACGGCCCAGACUCCUACGGGAGGCAGCAGUGGGGAAUAUUGCACAAUGGGCGAAAGCCUGAUGCAGCAACGCCGCGUGAGGGAUGACGGCCUUCGGGUUGUAAACCUCUUUUAGUAGGGAAGAAGCGAAAGUGACGGUACCUGCAGAAAAAGCACCGGCUAACUACGUGCCAGCAGCCGCGGUAAUACGUAGGGUGCAAGCGUUGUCCGGAAUUAUUGGGCGUAAAGAGCUCGUAGGCGGUUUGUCGCGUCUGCUGUGAAAUCCCGAGGCUCAACCUCGGGCUUGCAGUGGUACGGGCAGACUAGAGUGCGGUAGGGGAGAUUGGAAUUCCUGGUGUAGCGGUGGAAUGCGCAGAUAUCAGGAGGAACACCGAUGGCGAAGGCAGAUCUCUGGGCCGUAACUGACGCUGAGGAGCGAAAGCAUGGGGAGCGAACAGGAUUAGAUACCCUGGUAGUCCAUGCCGUAAACGUUGGGCGCUAGAUGUAGGGACCUUUCCACGGUUUCUGUGUCGUAGCUAACGCAUUAAGCGCCCCGCCUGGGGAGUACGGCCGCAAGGCUAAAACUCAAAGGAAUUGACGGGGGCCCGCACAAGCGGCGGAGCAUGCGGAUUAAUUCGAUGCAACGCGAAGAACCUUACCAAGGCUUGACAUACACCGGAAACGGCCAGAGAUGGUCGCCCCCUUGUGGUCGGUGUACAGGUGGUGCAUGGUUGUCGUCAGCUCGUGUCGUGAGAUGUUGGGUUAAGUCCCGCAACGAGCGCAACCCUCGUUCUAUGUUGCCAGCGGGUUAUGCCGGGGACUCAUAGGAGACUGCCGGGGUCAACUCGGAGGAAGGUGGGGAUGACGUCAAAUCAUCAUGCCCCUUAUGUCUUGGGCUUCACGCAUGCUACAAUGGCCGGUACAAAGGGCUGCGAUACCGUAAGGUGGAGCGAAUCCCAAAAAGCCGGUCUCAGUUCGGAUUGAGGUCUGCAACUCGACCUCAUGAAGUCGGAGUCGCUAGUAAUCGCAGAUCAGCAACGCUGCGGUGAAUACGUUCCCGGGCCUUGUACACACCGCCCGUCAAGUCAUGAAAGUCGGUAACACCCGAAGCCGGUGGCCUAACCCUUGUGGAAGGAGCCGUCGAAGGUGGGAUCGGUGAUUAGGACUAAGUCGUAACAAGGUAGCCGUACCGGAAGGUGCGGCUGGAUCACCUCCUUUCUAAGGA
rnacentral:rRNA from 1 species